UACGUAGGGCGCAAGCGUUUGUCCGGAAUUAUUGGGCGUAAAGAGCUCGUAGGCGGUUUGUCGCGUCUGCUGUGAAAACCCGAGGCUCAACCUCGGGCCUGCAGUGGGUACGGGCAGACUAGAGUGUGGUAGGGGAGACUGGAAUUCCUGGUGUAGCGGUGGAAUGCGCAGAUAUCAGGAGGAACACCCAAUGGGCGAAGGCAGGGUCUCU
rnacentral:rRNA from 1 species